AAGAAGUGAAACGAGGCUGCAGAUGGGAGGAAGGGGGCCAGCGGGGGUCCUCUGGAGACACCCAGACUUUCUGGUUCACUCUGACGGCACAGUCCCAGCUGUUCCAGGAAAACAGAAGUGGUGCCCUCAGGAAGCUGGAGCUUGGAGUCCAUCAGAUUUUGGUGCAAAGACUCUCUCUGCUACUUAGUAGGCACUGAGCUGCCCCAUCCACGUGUGUCAGAGGUUCCCUGCCCAGAGUUCCCAGGAGCCUCGGAGUCCAAAGUCCCUCGUUGCUGGUGACGACGGUUCCCUGCCUGUGCUUCCAGCACGCGAUCCCGACACCAAACGGCGCAGGCCUUUCCCAUUUGUUAGCGGCUCAAGUCUCUGUCCAGAUGUGCCUCCAUCCCAGCUCUUGCUGCCAUCGGGGUGGGGGUGGGAGUCCAACAGAUGGAGCAUUUUGCGCCCAGCACCGACCGCCUCUGGCCAACAGUUUCCCCUCUCGGUUAUGUAACGCUGCCGGCUUCCCACGGCCAGUGCGCAUGCUCCGAACUUCUGGCCACCUCAACUGAGUCAGAUGCAGAUAGAAAAUAUCUGGUGAUUAGGUUCAGUUUUAGUCAUUUCCUGCCUUCUCAGGGCAAGUCAGGUCUAGAAUUUUGCUCCUGGCCCCUCAGCUUCCCACGGAGGCCGCCUCCCUCCUCCAGGUCUGCUUAGCCAUGGGGCUCCCCUGACAGUUUGCCCGGCCUUCUGACACCGCGGCCAGGCGUCGGAGCCACACCCCAGCCAAGGCUGCCUUCUGCCUAGGACCCUCACUGUUUCCGUGUUUAUUCCUCAUCCUUUUUUUUUUUUUUUUUUUUUNNNNNNNNNNNNNNNNNNNNNNNNNNNNNNNNNNNNNNNNNNNNNNNNNNNNNNNNNNNNNNNNNGGGGGGGGGGGAAAGACCAGCCAGUUCUCUCUUUGGAACGCUCUGUCUCCCAGGACUGAAAAAGCCACAAUCAGCCCUGUCCUUCAAUAGCCCUGUCUGGCUCUCGGGCUGAUCUGUGAGACUCUUUUGUUCCAGGUUGUUUUAGGCAGCGGCAGAUGACAGCCCAGAAAAAGAGAGACAAAAUUCCCUCUCUCAUGGGGUCCAUCCUGUUUUUGACCCAGAUUCCAAUCAUGUGGCCCCUCUCCAUCUCUGCUUAAUUCAUUUUCUUAUCUUGACUUUUAGGACCAGGAGCCGCUGACUCCAGACUGCCCACCAGGCUCUGGUUCUGCAUGUGCUUAACAGCCAACUGGGACGGACAGCUCCAGUCCCCAUGUCCCUCACCCGUGUGGCCUUUAUCAGACCUUCGCAGCCCUAGCACCAAGUCCUACCCCAAACCCUCAGCUGCCCACCCUGCAACACUGACCAAACCCUGAGUCCAGCCAUCUGGCCCUCAGAAACUGUCCCCGGCUCCAGGCCAAGCUGCCUUACAGAUGGGCCCUGGGUUCCCUAGGAAACUGCAGGCUGAACUGGCUGUCAGUGGAGGGUUUCGGCUGUGUGGUUGGCCACCUGGGCAGAAGCCUUGCAAACUGCCUUCUUACCUGGUACUUCCCCUUCCUGAGCUCCAAACUCAACCCUUUCUGAGUCACCUGGGCCUUGGACACCUGUCCCUUUGGAGUCAUUUACAUCUUAGAAACCCAGGCCUUCUAAAUCGCAGUCACCUUGGAUAUCAGAUGAGUGCCCUGCCUCAUUUCAGUCUUCUGGACUCUUAAAUAUUUCAGCUGGUUCUUGGUGUUCCUCCUGCAUAUCCUAGGCCCGUGAGGGCUGGACUCCAAGAACUGGCCACGCCAUUCCUAAAACCAAGUCUCUGAGUCGCCAGAGCCUUGGUUACUUGCCCAGAUUAACAAAACCCCGAAGCAGGGUCAGCGUCCGGCCUUCACUCACCCCUCCGCUCAUGCAUCCACUUCUCCCGUCAACGAGGGUUCACGGAGCAGGUGCUUUGGAGCCACAGCACGUGCCAGUCGCCCAGCAAGGAAUGGCAAAACAUGCUUCCCAGACUGCAGAUGCUCACAGCCCAGGGGAAGGUGUCCAAGGCGAUCUAACCCAUUUCAGCCCCAUUGAACCAUGUCACAGUGAGUUGGGCAAGUUUCACGUACCAGGUGAGCACUCGGGAAAGGCAUCUAACGCGUGCAGGGACUGUCUUCCUCAGACAGUGAGUGAUAUGGAGUCUAGGCUGAAUCCUGAAUGGCAGCAAGAGCGGGGGAAGGGGUUCCAGUGGGGACGGCACUCCGGAUGUCCCGUGUAAAAACCCACAGAGAGCGCGACUCAGAAGGGGGAAUGGAAAACAUCGCAUGACGGGUGUCACGGGAGAGGGCUGCAGGGCCUGACCGUAUCGAAGUUGGUUGCUACCCUGAGGGCGAUGGGAAGCCACAGAGGGAGUCUGAGUGGCACCCACCCCACCUGCUCUGCUCUUCACGACCAAGAGCUUCACUUGGAGACUCUCACUUUGCCAUCUGAUGGAGGAUGAGUUAGAGGGAAGGCGAGGUCUCGGGCAGGAAGAGGCGACUGUGGCAGGAUUCCAAGAAUGUGGUAAGGGCCUGCACCAAGGGACUGGUAAAAAGCACUGGGGAUGUAACAGCAGUGGGACUUGGUGGUUGACUGGGCAUGAAGAGGGUGCAGCAGGGAGGGGUCUCGAGUGAUGCCCAGGUCACCAGGAUGAUGGAUGCUGGAUGGUGGGAACGUGGUGCUGUGAAGUGUCCUUAGAGGAUAAAGGAGGAACGGGAGACAAGGUCCUCAACAGCAAGAGCAGUGCUGACUCCAAGGCGACCUCGGAACUUCGUGUGCGGAGCUGCGUCGCCAGGAGCCGCCCUGGCCAAAGGCAGAGGUCUGAGAAUGAGCAGCACGCGGAGGAAGUGGAGCCACGCGCACUGUCGAGUGAGAAGAGCAGAGGGCCGACGAUGGAGCAUGAAGAGGUGGACGUGUACAUAGUCUCCAAGUGUCUUCCGUACCUGACACUUUUCCUACUUGUGACAAACAAGUAACUUUACAACGGAGAGACCUGCCAGAUACCAGCCUAACCCAAUGAUCAAAAUUAACAUCUCCAGGAAUGGGCCAAAGACCUCCUGAUAUGACGCCCUGCGAAGGACACCACCUCCCUUCUGUAAUAUUCCUCCCCCAAGUGCAUAAUCCGAGUCUAAUCAAGGGAACAGCAGACAAAUGUGUGCUGAAGAACAUUGUACAAAACAACAGGCCUGUGCUCUUCAAAACUGUCAAAGUUAAAAAAAACAACAAAAAACAACAAAAAAAACCGAAAGGCUAAGAAACCGUUCUGGAUUAAGGGAGACGAAAGAACAAACACAAUAACUAAAGAAUUCACUGCAUGAUCCUAGAUUAGAUCCUGUAGCAAGAUUUAUAAAGGGGGGGGGCUUGUUUUCUUUUGCUUCAGUUGCUUUGUGGCAAUUAGCGAAAUUUGAAAUAAAAUUUAUAGUCAUUAUAGACAU
rnacentral:lncRNA from 1 species